ACCCUUUAACAUUGUAAUUCGAAAGUAUAACGUUAAAACAUAUUUCAGAAAUGUUUAAUGAUAUCUUUGGAGAAGUGCUCUGGAAAGGUCUAAUCGAGGAUAAACCCCCAGAUCCAGGGGAAAUACAGGCAACAAGAAACGGGGGCAGGCGAAGAACUUGUUUUGUGCCUGGAUGCCGUCCACCCCCUGGGACAUCCAGAUUUAAAUUUCCAAAGAA